GUAUUUUGAAUUAAGUAAUUCAGAAAUAUCGUUUUUCAGACAAUUGGUUUAAUUAAAGAGUUGAUUAUAAAAAAAAAAACAUUGCACACAAGGUGGAUAUGGAUUUUUAAAAAGUGCCAUAAAACACUUUAUUAUGAAUGAUCCUUCCGCAGGUUCACCUACGGAAA
rnacentral:misc_RNA from 1 species